UACGUAGGUGGCGAGCGUUGUCCGGAUUUACUGGGUGUAAAGGGCGCGUAGGCGGGAAUGCAAGUCAGAUGUGAAAUCCAUGGGCUUAACCCAUGAACUGCAUUUGAAACUGUAUUUCUUGAGUGUCGGAGAGGUAGACGGAAUUCCUAGUGUAGCGGUGAAAUGCGUAGAUAUCAGGAGGAACACCGGCGGCGAAGGCGGCUUACUGGACUGUAACUGACGUUGAGGCUCGAAGGCGUGGGGAGCAAACAGG
rnacentral:rRNA from 1 species